AACAGAGUGACAUGAUUGAUAGUGACUGAGGGAGGCUACUUUGGAUAAGAUUGGGAACUGAUAGGGUGGAAUUCUAGAGGCACCAUAUGAUGUCCUUCUGAAGAAAUUUCAGGGGGUCAGGAAACCCAGACUUAAUACCCACAGAAAACGGCAAGAGUAUGGAUCUCCAUCACCAGGGGGCCAGGUGACACUUGAAGGAAUCACAAAGAGAAGACUUUGAGAUGGCAAUACAUCUCAGAAAAUGUCAUGUUUGUAACAUGCUGAUCUUCUGAAUAUUUCUACAAGCUACCCAGACAUGUGUUCAACCCAAAUAGGGAGGCAUCUUCAGAAAUUCUUCACAAUCACCCAAGAAAUCAUAAAAUGAAGGUCCUAUGAUCGUUGUCUAUGCGAACAAAUGAUGCUUAAAUAGUUUCAGAAAGAUUGGAAUAGAAAGCAAGCUCUGUCAGUAGACCUCUCAAAUUGUGUGUUCCUUGUAUUCCAUGGAUAUAGUCAUUCAAAAUAAAAUAGUAUUAUGAUAACAUGAAUUUUAUAGCAGCCUUUUUUGUGCAAAUAAGCCCCAUAGAUAAAUGUAUAAUAAAAGCAACCAUUACCAUAGGACAGUAUUUUACACUGCAAGUGUGUGAUCAAUGUAACUGAAUCCUCAGAAAUCUGGGAUUCUGAGCAUCAAGCCACUCAAAUGUUUUGUCAUUUUUAUUAGCAAGAUAAAAACCAAAGCACUAUUUCGUUAUUGACCAGAACAGUCUUCUUAUUUUCUCACUUUUGCAGCUUUUCUCACCAAUACUAACUCAGUGUUUUAUCUUCAACUAGUUUUAAUGAUCUCCAUAGCCACUAAUAUAAACACAGGAUAAAUUUAUAAGCUCAGGGUUUUGGUAAUGUUAGUCAAGUAUACACCAGAUAAAAGACAGUGUCAUCCAUUUCUGAGGCAAGCUGAGUGAGGUCAUGAAUAAGAUUGUGGCAGAAGCCUGCCCAUUGACUUAGGAAUGGGGACUGUAGCCAAGAUAUCCCAAACACAUGAUCCUACAAUAUAUUUUAUCAAUACUUGCAUUUGUUUAAAAAUUAAAAUCAAGAUAUUUUAUAUAGCAACCCAUUUUCUGUUGAAAAUGUUUAAAUUCUAAAAGUAAGAGCUGAACUCCUUCAUACACCCUUCCGCCUGCUGCAUAUAUCCGUGUCCUCAGCCCUUCUUCGGAUUCCGUGUUUACAAGGUCAAGAGGAUGGACAGGAGGUUUCAGUGACCAACGCCCGCUCCAGGCUUAUUUUAUUUUGUUAACAAUGUCAUGUCUGAGAAUUUAAACGGAAUGUAAAGAACAAGACAGUUCUAUUCACUAAAAAAGGGAUUAUGUGUUCUAACACUAACUUAUCAGUAUGUUUUGGGAGUAUACAAAAUUGCAGAAACUUCUCUGUAGAUUUUUCCUGGCUCAUUGCAUGCUCUAUACUUGGGUUUGACCAAAACUGACUUCCACAUAACAUUUUGUAUAUUACUCUCCAGUUUGAGAGCCUGUAAUAACCCCUUGUUGCUCAGUGGAUACA